AGAGCGAACGCUGGCGGCAGGCCUAACACAUGCAAGUCGAGCGCGUGUAGCAAUACACGAGCGGCAGACGGGAGAGUAACACGUGGGAACGCGCCCUUCGGUUCGGAAUAACUCAGGGAAACUUGAGCUAAUACCGGAUACGCCCUUACGGGGAAAGAUUUAUUGCCGAAGGAACGGCCCGCGUCCGAUUAGCUAGUUGGUGAGGUAACGGCUCACCAAGGCGACGAUCGGUAGCUGGUCUGAGAGGAUGACCAGCCUCACUGGGACUGAGACACGGCCCAGACUCCUACGGGAGGCAGCAGUGGGGAAUAUUGGACAAUGGGCGCAAGCCUGAUCCAGCCAUGCCGCGUGGAUGAUGAAGGCCUUAGGGUUGUAAAGUCCGUUUUAACGGGGAAGUAUAAUGACGGUACCGUAGAAUAAGCCCGGCUAACUUCGCGCCAGCAGCCGC
rnacentral:rRNA from 1 species